CCUUAUAAAACGGGAAAUUCGGACACAGAGACAGACAUACACAGAGGGGAGACAAUGUGAAGAGACAUGCACACACACAGGACAAGAUGGACAUCUACAAGCAAGGAGAGAGGCCUGGAGUACAUCUUUCCCUCAAGCCCUCAGAAGGAGUCAACCCUGCUGGCACCUUGAUUUCAGACUUCUAGCCUCCAGAACUGUUUUUACUCUUCACGGAAGUUAUCAGCAUUCAGCUUAUGUUUGUUUCCUCUUCACGUGGUUAUGAACUUCAUGACAACAAGCUGCUCCAGCAAAUAAUUGAAUAAAACCAUGGUUGGGAUUUUGCCAGAAGAGUGUGAUGGAGAGAGAAAGGA
rnacentral:lncRNA from 1 species